rnacentral:rRNA from 1 species
GUGGGGAAUCUUGCGCAAUGGGCGAAAGCCUGACGCAGCCAUGCCGCGUGAAUGAUGAAGGUCUUAGGAUUGUAAAAUUCUUUCACCGGGGACGAUAAUGACGGUACCCGGAGAAGAAGCUCCGGCUAACUUCGUGCCAGCAGCCGCGGUAAUACGAAGGGGGCUAGCGUUGCUCGGAAUUACUGGGCGUAAAGGGCGCGUAGGCGGACAGCUUAGUCAGAGGUGAAAGCCCAGGGCUCAACCUUGGAAUUGCCUUUGAUACUGGCUGUCUUGAGUUUGGGAGAGGUGAGUGGAACUCCGAGUGUAGAGGUGAAAUUCGUAGAUAUUCGGAAGAACACCAGUGGCGAAGGCGACUCACUGGCCCAAUACUGACGCUGAGGCGCGAAAGCGUGGGGAGCAAACAGGAUUAGAAACUCCGGUAGUCC